rnacentral:rRNA from 1 species
UCCUAUCAUUUGAGUGGCUUGGAGAAUCCGAGUUGCGAAGAUAGCGUGUGUGCGACACGAUCAGAUACCGAAUAUUCAGAAUCAGAGCGAUGCUCUGGUUCAGGCUUCUUGAGUUUGACCAGUUUAUGUCUGGUGGCCAUAGCGAGGUGGUCCCACGCCUUCCCAUCCCGAACAGGACCGUGAAACGCCUUAGCGCCGAUGAUAGUGUGGCAUUCGCCAUGUGAAAGUAGGACACCGCCA